rnacentral:rRNA from 1 species
AUUGAACGCUGGCGGCAUGCCUUACACAUGCAAGUCGAACGGCAGCAUGGAGAGCUUGCUCUCUGAUGGCGAGUGGCGAACGGGUGAGUAAUGCAUCGGAACGUACCGUGUAAUGGGGGAUAACGUAGCGAAAGUUACGCUAAUACCGCAUACGACCUGAGGGUGAAAGCAGGGGAUCGCAAGACCUUGCGUUAUACGAGCGGCCGAUGUCAGAUUAGCUAGUUGGUGAGGUGAAGGCUCACCAAGGCGACGAUCUGUAGCGGGUCUGAGAGGAUGAUCCGCCACACGGGGACUGAGACACGGCCCAGACUCCUACGGGAGGCAGCAGUGGGGAAUUUUGGACAAUGGGGGCAACCCUGAUCCAGCCAUGCCGCGUGAGUGAAGAAGGCCUUCGGGUUGUAAAGCUCUUUCGGCCGGGAAGAAAUCGCACAGGCUAAUACUCUGUGUGGAUGACGGUACCGGCAUAAGAAGCACCGGCUAACUACGUGCCAGCAGCCGCCGUAA